ACAUCGCGGAGCUUGCGAUCCCUUUACCAGGGAUCUAGGCUCCAACCGCCGGGCCUGUGGACUUCAACAUCGUGAAGCCCGCGAGCUUCGAUCGCC